GAAAGAGAAAGAGAUGUUUCCGUGCAGUGCCCUAUAGAGCACGAAAUUGAAUCUGUUUUCCCAACCUGCUGGCAACAACUGAAGGAGACCAAUGGUCUCGGUUCAAGAUUUGACUGCAAGCCACUGACCAUAAAUACCCGUCACGUCGGCGCUGUCGAUUGCAUCAUGAUUACUAUUAUUGACGAUCCAAAUGUUGUCUAUAUAUCGUCGUGAUCGGAGCUGUUAAUCGACUUCGGAUGGUCAACAUUCUUGUAGGAAGAAUAAGAAAAGCUGGUUUGCUGAUGUUUGGAACAUAAAAACAAGUGAGGACCCCGGUGAAUAGCCAAACUGAUCUACGAACUACUGAAAAUAAACGGAACCUCCGAUCAACAGUACGAUUGAGGACGGAUUUGACAACGAGCUCAACAACGAUGGUCGAUCUCGUAGGAAUGUACACGCCGGAAAACACAUCCAAUAUGCACGCACAGAUGUUUAGGAUUUGCUCUGGUUGAUCCCAACACUUCCUUGCUGUUGAUGAAGCCUGUGCGAUCUCUGGAGGAGAGAAUGGAUCCACAAUAUUCUCGUUCCGAUUCCAAGCUAUUUGUAAUUCUAUAAAAACCACAUCAAAUUCGUCAACUCUCAGGAAAUUAAUCAUGCUGGCAGAGAGCGACUUUCCAGAUAUCACUUCCCAGCACUCCAGUAGUGGCCGAUCGGCGAAAAGAAGGACGAACCGUUCAUCAUCAUGAUGCUGAAAACAAAUAAGGCCGCACGUGGACGUUUGGUCGGCCUUCCUUUUUCAAAUAUCAGAUAUCUGCCCAAAAUAAUUGUGGGCUACUACUAUCAGUUUAUUUGCCGAUAAUUGGCAUUAAAAAUUUUGACAAAAAAGUUGAAUUACAAUCGGGCAGCAAAGUUGAUGGCAGAUUGUGUAUUAUUGGAAUGGGAUCGUCUUUUCUAUUUAUCGUUUUAGGUCUGACUAACUCGCUGCGCUUUUGCUUGUCAAUAAUCCAAUUAACAGUUCCAUGCGUGUGUCGAAAUGAAAUACAAAAAUGGCAGUAGGGUUCUGUAAAAGAAUCUACACUGCGAUUCAAUUAUUGCCACUGAACAGAUGAAUACCAUAGAUUGGACGAGAAGCUUCCCAGUGGAUGUUGAUGACAUGGCCAGUUUCAUUCAACGAUGGGACAGUCCU